rnacentral:rRNA from 1 species
UACGUAGGGGGCAAGCGUUAUCCAGAUUUACUGGGCGUAAAGCGCGUGUAGGCGGCUGGUUAGGUGUGAUGUGAAAUCUUCCGGCUCAACCGGAAAACUGCAUUGCAAACCGGCCUGGCUAGAGUGCAGGAGAGGGAAGCGGAAUUCCCGGUGUAGUGGUGAAAUGCGUAGAUAUCGGGAGGAACACCAGUGGCGAAGGCGGCUUCCUGGCCUGUUCUUGACGCUGAGGCGCGAAAGCUAGGGGAGCAAACGGG